rnacentral:rRNA from 1 species
GAUGAACGCUGGCGGCGUGCCUAAUACAUGCAAGUCGAGCGAACGGACGAGAAGCUUGCUUCUCUGAUGUUAGCGGCGGACGGGUGAGUAACACGUGGAUAACCUACCUAUAAGACUGGGAUAACUUCGGGAAACCGGAGCUAAUACCGGAUAAUAUUUUGAACCGCAUGGUUCAAAAGUGAAAGACGGUCUUGCUGUCACUUAUAGAUGGAUCCGCGCUGCAUUAGCUAGUUGGUAAGGUAACGGCUUACCAAGGCAACGAUGCAUAGCCGACCUGAGAGGGUGAUCGGCCACACGGGAAGUGAGACACGGUCCAGACUCCUACGGGAGGCAGCAGUAGGGAAUCUUCCGCAAUGGGCGAAAGCCUGACGGAGCAACGCCGCGUGAGUGAUGAAGGUCUUCGGAUCGGAAAACUCUGUUAGUAGGGAAGAACAUAUGUGUAAGUAACUGUGCACAUCUUGACGGUACCUAAUCAGAAAGCCACGGCUAACUACGUG